UAAAUUUAUGAAAUCUCCUUAAAAACAUCCUACACCAAUUGUCUUCAAUAAUUUUAGUUCCUAUAUAUUUGAAUUAUGAACUAGCUGCCUCAGGCUAUAUAGAAAAACUUAAAAUCGCAACUUGCAACUGUAGCAUUAUUAUUGACAAUUUAAUUAAGAGAUCAGGGCUCUAGGGUAAGAUAAUGUACUAGAGAUAACAUUGCUACAAUUCACAUUAGAGCAUUAUUAUUUAAAAUAAAUUUUAAUCUUUUGUCAUCAAGGGCGCAGUUGUUAGAUAAAAUAAAUGGCCAUGUGUCAUUGCCGAUUCAGUAUUAUUGUAUAUGUCCACCUAACGAAAAAAGUAAUGCAUGAGUUGAAAUUACUCCAUGUCAUGAAGAAAAUUCAGUAAUAGAUGAAACUUUAUAGUUAGCCAUCCUUUUAAAGAAUACUGUAGUUUUCUGAAGAUAAAUAAAUAAACGAAUAUUGUAGUUAAUUGUAGUUUAGUGCAUGACAUUUUAUCGAUCAAAUUAAACGCCAAAUGUUCCAUGAAUAAAAAUUUAAAUGGGACAGUUCAUUAUGACUUUGUCAUACAACAAAGUCAAAAGUUCUAUUGUAGAAUUAUUAGUAGGUUCCGUUAAAUUUUAUUUUGAAAAAGUCAUUUUAUCCUAAGGGUGGAUCUACGACCAAGCUAUUCUAGUAACCACAACUAAUCAUAAAAGGGGAUGUUGGGAAGGACCCCUCUCUGUUUGGAGCUGCUACUCCAUUGGGUCCUAAUAUAAGACUCACUGUUUUGCCAUGUGGUAGAGUCCUAAUAGGCUGAGCCAUCUCAUUGUUGGGAUUAUGUGCCCUUUAAAGCAUAUUGAUUUAUUUAUUUUCUUAUUAACAAAAUAUUUGAGAUAUUUUCAGAUAUCUUAAU
rnacentral:lncRNA from 1 species